rnacentral:rRNA from 1 species
GACGAACGCUGGCGGCGUGCUUAACACAUGCAAGUCGUGCGACAGCGCCUUCUUCGGGUGGUGAUGAGUGGCGAACGGGUGAGUAACACGUGGGUAAUCUGCCCUGCACUCUGGGAUAAGCCUUGGAAACGAGGUCUAAUACCGGAUAUCACAACUUCUCGCAUGGGGGGUUGUUGAAAGUUCUGGCGGUGCAGGAUGAACCCGCGGCCUAUCAGCUUGUUGGUGGGGUAANGGCCUACCAAGGCGACGACGGGUAGCCGGCCUGAGAGGGUGACCGGCCACACUGGGACUGAGACACGGCCCAGACUCCUACGGGAGGCAGCAGUGGGGAAUAUUGCACAAUGGGCGAAAGCCUGAUGCAGCGACGCCGCGUGAGGGAUGACGGCCUGG